AAUGAACGCUGGCGGCAUGCCUAACACAUGCAAGUCGAACGAAGCCUUCGGGCUUAGUGGCGCACGGGUGCGUAACGCGUGGGAGUCUGCCCUUGGGUUCGGAAUAACUCUCCGAAGGGAGUGCUAAUACCGGAUGAUGUCGAAAGACCAAAGAUUUAUCGCCCAGGGAUGAGCCCGCGUAGGAUUAGCUAGUUGGUGAGGUAAAAGCUCACCAAGGCGACGAUCCUUAGCUGGUCUGAGAGGAUGAUCAGCCACACUGGGACUGAGACACGGCCCAGACUCCUACGGGAGGCAGCAGUGGGGAAUAUUGGACAAUGGGCGAAAGCCUGAUCCAGCAAUGCCGCGUGAGUGAUGAAGGCCUUAGGGUUGUAAAGCUCUUUUACCCGGGAUGAUAAUGACGGUACCGGGAGAAUAAGCCCCGGCUAACUCCGUGCCAGCCGCCGCAGUAA
rnacentral:rRNA from 1 species